GGGCGUGUAGCUCAGGGGUAGAGCGCUCGCUUUGCAUGCGAGAGGUCUAGGGUUCGAUUCCCUACCCGUCCA
rnacentral:tRNA from 1 species